GGAAGGAUCAUUAACACGUUUCGUUCCGAACGUUUUGACCCAUCUCUAUUUUCCGUGCACCAAAUUGCGUCCGGCCUCCUAGCCCGCUCUCCGGCUUUAGUCGGUGUGGCCUGGUUGGGCGUUUCAGAGUCUGGGGAGUUUUCUUCCCUCUCUUUGCGACGUUGCCACCUCUCCCAAACCCUUUAAUCUAACUGAUCUGAACUUUAAGUUGACUACUCGCAGAAGCACUCGUGUUUUUGCCUAGUUAUCAACGACUUUGAACAAACAACAACUCUUAACAACGGAUAUCUUGGUUCUCGCAACGAUGAAGAACGCAGCGAAAUGCGAUACGUAAUGCGAAUUGCAGAAUUCCGUGAAUCAUCAAGUUUUUGAACGCAAAUUGCGCUCUCCUUUAUCGUGAGCACGCUUCUUUGAGUGUCGGUUUAACUUCUUUCUGCAGCGUGCUGUCUUAGAAAGGCAUUUUUGAGUGUCUCUUUGCUCUCUUUUUUCUUUCACAGAAAAAAACGCGUAAAGUCACUUUAAGUACUUCGGGCUUGAUUGCCUGCCAGUGCACCGCUGGGCUUACACUUCAAAAGAGUGUGAGUUAAGGUGGCGUGGAUAAUUCACUUCUUCAAUGAGGUGGUCCAAUACGUCAUCUCGACAUUCACUUGCCGAGAUCCUGCGAGACCAAAAAGUCGUUUCGAUUUUUUUUUUCCUCAAUGGGCUUUGACUUCACUCUUUGUAGGCUCCAGUCGCACGAAACCCCACCAAACAGACCUCAAAUGAAGCGAGAGGACCCGGUGAAUUUAAGCAUAUUAUUAACCGGAGGAAAAGAAACUAACAAGGAUUCCCCUAGUAACGGCGAGUGAAGCGGGAAGAGCUCAACUUGGAAAUCGGUAGGGCAUGCGUCCGUCCGAAUUGUAGUCUAGAGACGUUACCGCAAGUGCGGGUGGCGGGUCAAAUUUCCUUGGAAAAGGAAGCCAAAGAGGGUGAGAGCCCCGUCUGUGACUCGUUUGCCUGUAUGUGUCGGUUCGUUCUUCGAGUCGAGUUGCCUGGGAUCGCAGCUCUAAAUGGGUGGUAAAUUUCAUCUAAAGCUAAAUAUGGGCGAGAGACCGAUAGCGAACAAGUACCGUGAGGGAAAGAUGAAAAGAACUUUGAAAAGAGAGUUAAAAGUACUUGAAAUUGUUAAGAGGGAAGCACUGGAAGCCAUUCGGGAGGUGUCUCUAUGGACUUACGUCUUGUCGAGGCGCCUUUGGGGUCAGCAUCAAUUUCUGGCGCGGGAGAAGGCUUUACUGCUCUACCAGCUGUCGGGGAUUGAGGAUUGAGCGUUCAUUCGGUGUUUGCGUUUCGCAGUGGCUCAUCUUUUGUCGCAGAGCAAAGCUCUCCGGUUUUUGCUGGGUCUCUUUCGUUGCGCUCUACCUGUUCGUUCGUGAUGCUGACGAUACGGUUUUCAUUGACCCGUCUUGAAACACGGACCAAGGAGUCUAACAUAUAUGCGAGUAUUUGGGUGGUUAAAACCCUGGUGCGCAAUGAAAGUAAUUUUUGGUAGGAACCCUUCACCGGGCGCACUAUCGACCGAUCACGUAAGUGAUUUUGAGUAAGAGCAUAUCUGUUGGGACCCGAAAGAUGGUGAUCUAUGCCUGAACAGGGUGAAGCCAGGGGAAACUCUGGUGGAGGCUCGUAGCGAUACUGACGUGCAAAUCGUUCGUCUGAUUUGGGUAUAGGGGCGAAAGACUAAUCGAACCAUCUAGUAGCUGGUUCCCUC
rnacentral:misc_RNA from 1 species